rnacentral:tRNA from 1 species
GCCUGGGUGGCUCAGUCGGUUGAGCGUCUGACUUCAGCUCGGGUCAUGAUCUCACAGUCCGUGAGUUCGAGCCCCGCGUCAGGCU